AUUGAACGCUGGCGGCAUGCUUUACACAUGCAAGUCGAACGGUAACAGGCCGCAAGGUGCUGACGAGUGGCGAACGGGUGAGUAAUGCAUCGGAACGUGCCCAGUCGUGGGGGAUAACGCAGCGAAAGCUGCGCUAAUACCGCAUACGAUCUAUGGAUGAAAGCGGGGGACCGUAAGGCCUCGCGCGAUUGGAGCGGCCGAUGUCAGAUUAGGUAGUUGGUGGGGUAAAGGCUCACCAAGCCAACGAUCUGUAGCUGGUCUGAGAGGACGACCAGCCACACUGGGACUGAGACACGGCCCAGACUCCUACGGGAGGCAGCAGUGGGGAAUUUUGGACAAUGGGCGCAAGCCUGAUCCAGCAAUGCCGCGUGCAGGAAGAAGGCCUUCGGGUUGUAAACUGCUUUUGUACGGAACGAAACGGCUCUGGUUAAUACCUGGGGCUAAUGACGGUACCGUAAGAAUAAGCACCGGCUAACUACGUGCCAGCCGCCGCAGUAA
rnacentral:rRNA from 1 species